rnacentral:rRNA from 1 species
UACAGAGGGUGCAAGCGUUGUUCGGAAUUAUUGGGCGUAAAGGGAGUGUAGGCUGUUUGUUAAGUCUUCUGUGAAAUCUACGGGCUUACCCUGUAAAGUGCAGAGGAAACUAGCAGACUUGAGUGUCGGAGAGGAUAGGGGAAUUCCCGGUGUAGAGGUGAAAUUCGUAGAGAUCGGGAGGAACACCAGUGGCGAAGGCGCCUAUCUGGCUGACAACUGACGCUGAGACUCGAAAGCAUGGGGAGCAAACAGG